rnacentral:rRNA from 1 species
UGCCGCGUGUGUGAUGAAGGUCUUUCGGAUUGUAAAGCACUUUAAGUUGGGAGGAAGGGCAGUUACCUAAUACUGGAUUGUAUUGACCGGCCCGAUACAUGACACCCCGCCUAAUUCUAUGCCAGCAGCCGCGGUAAUACGGAUGGUGCGAGCGUAAAUCGGAAUUACGGGGCGUGACGCGCCCAUAGGUGGUUUGUUAAGCUGGAUGUGAAAUCUGCGGGCUCAACCGGGGAACUGCAUUCCAAAAUGACAGACUGGAAUAUGGGGUAUGGUGGUGAAAUUCGCUGAUAUCAGGAGGAACACCGGUGGCGAAGGCGGGUCUCUGGGCCGAUACUGACGCUGAUGAGCGAAAGCGUGGGGAGCGAACAGGAUUAGAUACCCUGGUAGUCCAUGCUGUAAACGUUGGGCGCUAGGUGUGGGGGGCCCCUCCGGUUCUCUGUGCCGCAGCUAACGCAUUAAGCGCCCCGCCUGGGGAGUACGGCCGCAAGGCUAAAACUCAAAGGAAUUGACGGGGGCCCGCACAAGCGGCGGAGCAUGCGGAUUAAUUCGAUGCAACGCGAAGAACCUUACCUGGGUUUGACAUGUCCGCAGAACUUCCAGAGAUG